GACGAACGCUGGCGGCGUGCUUAACACAUGCAAGUCGAACGGAAAGGCCCUGCUUUUGUGGGGUGCUCGAGUGGCGAACGGGUGAGUAACACGUGAGUAACCUGCCCUUGACUUUGGGAUAACUUCAGGAAACUGGGGCUAAUACCGGAUAGGAGCUCCUGCUGCAUGGUGGGGGUUGGAAAGCUUCGGCGGUUGGGGAUGGACGCGCGGCUUAUCAGCUUGUUGGUGGAGUAGUGGCUUACCAAGGCUUUGACGGGUAGCCGGCCUGAGAGGGUGACCGGCCACAUUGGGACUGAGAGACGGCGCAGACGCCUACGGGAGGCAGCAGUGGGGAAUAUGGCACAAUGGGCGGAAGCCUAAUGCAGCAACGCCGCGUGCGGGAUGACGGCCUGCGGGUUGUAAACCGCUUUCGCCUGUGACGAAGCGUGAGUGACGGUAAUGGGUAAAGAAGCACCGGCUAACUACGUG
rnacentral:rRNA from 1 species